GGCAGUGUGGUGCAGUGGUUAGAGUGUUGGACUGGGACCUGAGAGGCCAGAGUUCAAAUCCCCCCUCAGCCG